GCGUGUGAGAGGUUACAUUUUCAGUUGUGCGUGUGAGAGGUUACAUUUUCAGUUGUGCGUGUGAGAGGUUACAUUUUCAGUUGUGCGUGUGAGAGGUUACAUUUUCAGUUGUGCGUGUGAGAGGUUACAUUUUCAGUUGUAUGUGUGAGAGGUUACAUUUUCAGUUGUAUGUGUGAGAGGUGUUCACUGUGGUAUAAGAGAGGUUCUCACUCAUGAGUAUGAGAGGUUUUCAGUUGUCAUUGUGUGAGGUUCCAUUCUCACUAGUAUACGUGAGAGGUGUUCAGUAGGGAAUGUGAGUGUAUUUCAGUAGUGUUUGUGAAAGGCAAAAGGUCUUCAAUGGUGUGUAUGAGAGGCA
ensembl:lncRNA